rnacentral:rRNA from 1 species
UAGUGAUUUGAUCCUGGCUCAGGAUGAACGCUAGCGGCAGGCCUAAUACAUGCAAGUCGAACGGGGUGUAGCAAUACACCUAGUGGCGCACGGGUGCGUAACGCGUAACCAACCUGCCCGAAACUGGGGGAUAGCCCGCCGAAAGGCGGAUUAAUACCGCAUAACCCAACAACACGGCAUCGUGUAAUUGGUAAAGAUUUAUUGGUUUCGGAUGGGGUUGCGUGACAUUAGCUAGUUGGCGGGGUAACGGCCCACCAAGGCGACGAUGUCUAGGGGACCUGAGAGGGGUGAUCCCCCACACUGGCACUGAGAUACGGGCCAGACUCCUACGGGGAGGCAGCAGUGGGGAAUAUUGGGGCAAUGGGGCGAGAGCCUGACCCAGCCAUGCCGCGUGCAGGAAGAAGGCCCCUCUGGGUUGUAAACUGCUUUUAUCGGUGAAGAACACGGCCCUUGCGAGGGUCAUUGACGGUACUCGAGGAAUAAGCACCGGCUAACUCCGUGCCAGCAGCCGCGGUAAUCUGAUGGCGCGAGGGGAGCGAUAC